rnacentral:misc_RNA from 1 species
AACGCACCUUGCGCUCCCUGGUAUUCCGGGGAGCAUGCCUGUUUGAGUGUCAUUAAAUUCUCAACCCCGAUCGGAUUUGUUUUCGCAUUCGGAGGCUUGGAUAGUGGAGCGUGCUGGCCCCCUCUCAUGGGUCGGCUCCUCUCAAAUGCAUUCGCGGAAUCGACUUUGGUCCGUUUCGGUCAUCAGUGUGAUAAAUGUUGCGCUGUUGGCUAGGAUCGAGGUGCCGCAUACAAUGGUCUUCGGACAAUUUUAUAAACAAAUUUGACCUCAAAUCAGGUAGGACUACCCGCUGAACUUAA